CCUACGGGAGGCAGCAGUGAGGAAUAUUGGUCAAUGGACGAGAGUCUGAACCAGCCAAGUAGCGUGAAGGAUGACUGCCCUAUGGGUUGUAAACUUCUUUUAUAUGGGAAUAAAAUGUUCCACGUGUGGGAUUUUGUAUGUACCAUAUGAAUAAGGAUCGGCUAACUCCGUGCCAGCAGCCGCGGUAAUACGGAGGAUCCGAGCGUUAUCCGGAUUUAUUGGGUUUAAAGGGAGCGUAGGUGGAUUGUUAAGUCAGUUGUGAAAGUUUGCGGCUCAACCAUAAAAUUGCAGUUGAAACUGGCAGUCUUGAGUACAGUAGAGGUGGGCGGAAGUCGUGGUGUAGCGGUGAAAUGCUUAGAUAUCACGAAGAACUCCGAGUGCGAAGGCAGUUCACUGGACUGCAACUGACACUGAGGCUCGAAAGUGUGGGUAUCAAACAGGAUUAGAUACCCUAGUAGUC
rnacentral:rRNA from 1 species